CACGUAGGCACCAAGCGUUGUCCGGAUUUAUUGGGCGUAAAGAGCUCGUAGGCGGUUCGGUAAGUCGGGUGUGAAAACUCUGGGCUCAACCCAGAGCCGCCACCCGAUACUGCUGUGACUCGAGUGCGGUAGGGGAGCGGGGAACUCCUGGUGUAGCGGUGAAAUGCGCAGAUAUCAGGAAGAACACCAGUGGCGAAGGCGCCGCUCUGGGCCGUGACUGACGCUGAGGAGCGAAAGCGUGGGUAGCAAACAGG
rnacentral:rRNA from 1 species